rnacentral:rRNA from 1 species
UACGUCGGUGGCAAGCGUUGUCCGGAUUUACUGGGAGUAAAGAGCGCGCAGGCGGUCGUUCAAGUCUCGUGUGAAAGCCCCCGGCUCAACUGGGGAGGGUCACGCGAUACUGAUCGACUCGAAGGCAGGAGAGGGUAGUGGAAUUCCCGGUGUAGUGGUGAAAUGCGUAGAUAUCGGGAGGAACACCAGUGGCGAAGGCGACUACCUGGCCUGUUCUUGACGCUGAGGCGCGAAAGCUAGGGGAGCAAACGGG